ACCUGGAAACAAACGACACAGGGACUAUCAUGGUGGUGAAGAUGGUGGCCCAAAUAAACAGCCAAGACACCGCAAAGGACCACCUCCCAUUAAGGGUCCCUGUUGGUUCUGUCUGGGAAGUCCUGAGGUCGAGAAACAUUUGGUGGUCAGUGUAGGAGAUGAU